rnacentral:rRNA from 1 species
UAUGGAGGGGGCUAGCGUUGUUCGGAAUUACUGGGCGUAAAGCGCGCGUAGGCGGCUUUGUAAGUUAGAGGUGAAAGCCCGGGGCUCAACUCCGGAAUUGCCUUUAAAACUGCAUCGCUAGAAUUGUGGAGAGGUAAGUGGAAUUCCGAGUGUAGAGGUGAAAUUCGUAGAUAUUCGGAAGAACACCAGUGGCGAAGGCGACUUACUGGACACAUAUUGACGCUGAGGUGCGAAAGCGUGGGGAGCAAACAGG